rnacentral:rRNA from 1 species
UACGUAGGGUGCAAGCGUUAAUCGGAAUUACUGGGCGUAAAGCGUGCGCAGGCGGUUUUGUAAGUCUGUCGUGAAAGCCCCGGGCCCAACCUGGGAAUUGCGAUGGAGACUGCAAGGCUUGAAUCUGGCAGAGGGGGGUAGAAUUCCACGUGUAGCAGUGAAAUGCGUAGAGAUGUGGAGGAACACCGAUGGCGAAGGCAGCCCCCCUGGGUCAAGAUUGACGCUCAUGCACGAAAGCGUGGGGAGCAAACAGG